GUGCUGAGACUGAUCCACCACCCAAAUAAUAUGGCUUGUGGGGCUCCUGACCAUUGAACGACAGGGUAAAAGAGGGCUAACAAAGUAUGUAGAGAAACAGAUGGACUACAGGCUGUUACAGUAGAGCUACGGUUCUCCUACACGCCCUGCGAUGGACCAGUCCAGGGUGUGUCCUGCCUUUCACCCAAUGACAGCUGGGAUAGGCUCCAGCACCCCUCAUUCCCAGAAGGACCUACCUAGCACAGUCAUGGAGUCCAGUUGCUGUUUGGAGAGGCUGAUUGGCAUGUCAUGGUCAUUCAUUGGCUGGUCUAACUCCUGCAAGACCUUGUCCACUUCAGUACGAGCUGCAGCAAGAGCUUCUGGACAUCUGACAAUCACAAGACGUGCAACACCUUCCAGACUGAUGGAUCAUCAUGAUGACACUUGAAGGCCAGUUUCCUGGUUUGUGGAGGGCUUGGAUGCCUAAGGGAUGUUCUUUCACACCUCCAAAAUUUAGUUUUUAAAUGAGGGCUUCUUGGCAGCUGCAAACCCCAUCAGACUCAUAGUGUUGAG